GACGAACGCUGGCGGCGUGCUUAACACAUGCAAGCCGAACGAAAAGGCCCUGCUUUUGUGGGGUGCUCGAGUGGCGAACGGGUGAGUAACACGUGAGUAACCUGCCCUUGACUUUGGGAUAACUUCAGGAAACUGGGGCUAAUACCGGAUAGGAGCUCCUGCUGCAUGGUGGGGGUUGGAAAGUUUCGGCGGUUGGGGAUGGACUCGCGGCUUAUCAGCUUGUUGGUGGGGUAGUGGCUUACCAAGGCUUUGACGGGUAGCCGGCCUGAGAGGGUGACCGGCCACAUUGGGACUGAGAUACGGCCCAGACUCCUACGGGAGGCAGCAGUGGGGAAUAUUGCACAAUGGGCGGAAGCCUGAUGCAGCAACGCCGCGUGCGGGAUGACGGCCUUCGGGUUGUAAACCGCUUUCGCCUGUGACGAAGCGUGAGUGACGGUAAUGGGUAAAGAAGCACCGGCUAACUACGUG
rnacentral:rRNA from 1 species